GCUAAUACCGCAUGAUGCCUACGGGCCAAAGAGGGGGACCUUCGGGCCUCUCGCGUCAGGAUAUGCCUAGGUGGGAUUAGCUAGUUGGUGAGGUAAGGGCUCACCAAGGCGACGAUCCCUAGCUGGUCUGAGAGGAUGAUCAGCCACACUGGAACUGAGACACGGUCCAGACUCCUACGGGAGGCAGCAGUGGGGAAUAUUGCACAAUGGGCGCAAGCCUGAUGCAGCCAUGCCGCGUGUGUGAAGAAGGCCUUCGGGUUGUAAAGCACUUUCAGUCGUGAGGAAGGUAGUGUAGUUAAUAGCUGCAUUAUUUGACGUUAGCGACAGAAGAAGCACCGGCUAACUCCGUGCCAGCAGCCGCGGUAAUACGGAGGGUGCGAGCGUUAAUCGGAAUUACUGGGCGUAAAGCGCAUGCAGGUGGUUUGUUAAGUCAGAUGUGAAAGCCCGGGGCUCAACCUCGGAAUUGCAUUUGAAACUGGCAGACUAGAGUACUGUAGAGGGGGGUAGAAUUUCAGGUGUAGCGGUGAAAUGCGUAGAGAUCUGAAGGAAUACCGGUGGCGAAGGCGGCCCCCUGGA
rnacentral:rRNA from 1 species